rnacentral:rRNA from 1 species
GACGAACGCUGGCGGCGUGCUUAACACAUGCAAGUCGAACGGAAAGGCCCUGCUUUUGUGGGGUGCUCGAGUGGCGAACGGGUGAGUAACACGUGAGUAACCUGCCCUUGACUUUGGGAUAACUUCAGGAAACUGGGGCUAAUACCGGAUAGGAGCUCCUGCUGCAUGGUGGGGGUUGGAAAGUUUCGGCGGUUGGGGAUGGACUCGCGGCUUAUCAGCUUGUUGGUGGGGUAGUGGCUUACCAAGGCUUUGACGGGUAGCCGGCCUGAGAGGGUGACCGGCAAUGUGCGCAACGACAUACGGCCACGACGCGGACGACAGGCGGAUGUGGGGAAGAUUGCAGAGUGGCCGGAGCCGUGCGGCGGACACUGCGCGGGUGGGGUGGCGGCCUUGUGUUUGUAUGCCGCUUUCGUGUGUCGAGUGGCGGGAGUGUGGGUAAGGAGUAAAGCAGCCCCUGCCAACAACUUGCCAGCGGCCGGGGUUAUAGCUGGCACAGCAGACUUCUGAAC